ACUGACUCCUAAGUCUUCUGCAGGAUUGUAGCGAAGGGUUGGAGAUACGCAAACUGUAAAAAGGCUUUGUGAACUCUGAAGCUGCUGUGAAUGACUCGUUUGACUCACUUGACCCUGUUGGGGGACAGGAAGAGUGGCUUUUGGAUCUUAAUCCAAAAAAACACAAUCCCAAACACCAUCAUCCUGAAAGCUGAAUUCUGGAGGUGGGAUUAGUGGGGGUUUCGGUUGCACACAGAGCAGUUACAUUAUGUUAGUUGCAUCACGUUAGGCGGAACUAUUACCUUGCUGUUGUCUUUAUUUGCAUCUGGUGGAAAAUUCAGAUGAGUUGUUUGGCCAAGCAAUAUUGCAGUUAUGAAAACUUCUGUUUAAGAAUGUUUCCUUGGCCUGCAUUGACAUUCCUUCUAGCUGAUGACAUUCCAGGAGCUUUUAAUGAAUUAAAGCCACAUUUGCCUGAAGAAGCUGGUGACGUUAUUGACUAGUUUGAAAACAAUUAUUUUCGUGGUAGGAUAAGGAGACAGCCAAUGGUGUUACAAUGUGUUACUGUUUGAUCGCCAUUAUCGUUUCCACCAAAUUUGUGGUCUGUAUAUGCACGCUUGUGGAAUGCAUUUUGGAGUACUCAAAACAACACAGAAGCAGGGCUCAAAAGAUUGGAAAAUUUAAUAGGAAAUGCUAAUGUCAGUGUGUAUUGUAUCAUAGAAGGAUUUCAAAAAGAGCAGUGCCACAUAGAAAAUGAAUGUGAAUGUAUUUUCCAAGGAGAUCUGUGUCCAAAAAAAUAAUAAGCAGCUAUUUAUCAUGAUGCAAGACUUCAAAACAUAGUUAAUAAUCAUGAAAAUCAGCUAGCUCUUAUGGACUAUCUCUGUGCAAUUGCCCAUAAUCUAUCCCUAUAAUACACUUUUCAAUAUGUCAAAUUUUCUUUUUAGUUUUUAAAUCUUUUGGGGUUUUCCCCCUACUAUUUAAAAUUGUCAGUAUUAUUUUUUACAAUUCACUACCCUUCAUAUCUCAUCUUUGCAUCAUUUCCAAUACUUGUAGUAUAAAUUGUAUAGAGGCUUUCAGAGUUCUAAUUUGUUUUAUGCAGCUUUUACAAAUUUGACUCCAUGAAAGUACAGCAUCACAAUGUUGGCUUGUGUGUAAGCAUUGUACAUGUAUGUAAAAACAUUGAAGCUUCCUCAGUAAAGGAAAAUAUGUCCUUUUUUGUACAUCUGCAUUUGUAAAAAUAACAUUUCUUGAGAUCUUGGCCCUUUGGGUGACUGCAUAUUUGGUGGUGACGCACCAUGGUUUUUUAUUGAUGUCAUCAAAAGACUUAGGAUGUUCAUCAUGGUAUUUCAGAUGACUGCCGUUAUAAAUCUGGGUGCCUACAACUACUAACUAUGGUGGUAUGCAUUUAUACAUUUCCAUUUGUAACCUAUUUCUUUAUGAAUAUAGUACAUCUGCUCAUAACUGUCAUACUUGUAUAACUGUUGUUAGUACACUUGAGUAUUUAUG
rnacentral:lncRNA from 1 species